rnacentral:rRNA from 1 species
UACUCCUACGGGAGGCAGCAGUAAGGAAUAUUGGUCAAUGGACGCAAGUCUGAACCAGCCAUGCCGCGUGGAGGAUGAAGGCCCUCUGGGUUGUAAACUUCUUUUAUAGGGGACGAAACCUCUUUUUCUAAAGAGACUGACGGUACCCUAGGAAUAAGCACCGGCUAACUCCGUGCCAGCAGCCGCGGUAA